AGCAGCCGCGGUAAUUCCAGCUCCAAUAGCGUAUAUUAAAGUUGCUGCAGUUAAAAAGCUCGUAGUUGAAUUUCGGGACUAAUAUGUCGGUCGUGCCUCGGUACGUACUGGUAUUUUUGGUUUCUACCUUCUGACGAACCUUGAUGUCAUUAAUUUGGUGUCUUGGGAAAUCAGGACUGUUACUUUGAAAAAAUUAGAGUGUUUAAAGCAGGCUCACGCUUGAAUACAUUAGCAUGGAAUAAUGAAAUAGGACGUUUGAUUCUAUUUUGUUGGUUUCUAGGAUCGACGUAAUGAUUAAUAGGGAUAGUUGGGGGCAUUAGUAUUCAAUUGUCAGAGGUGAAAUUCUUGGAUUUAUUGAAGACUAACUACUGCGAAAGCAUUUGCCAAGGAUGUUUUCAUUAAUCAAGAACGAAAGUUAGGGGAUCGAAGACGAUCAGAUACCGUCGUAGUCUUAACCAUAAACUAUGCCGACUAGGGAUCGGAUGAUGUUAAUUUUUUAAUGACUCAUUCGGCGCCUUACG
rnacentral:rRNA from 1 species